AGUGAACGCUGGCGGUAGGCCUAACACAUGCAAGUCGAACGGCAGCACAGUAAGAGCUUGCUCUUACGGGUGGCGACUGGCGGACGGGUGAGGAAUACAUCGGAAUCUACUUUUUCGUGGGGGAUAACGUAGGGAAACUUACGCUAAUACCGCAUACGACCUACGGGUGAAAGCAGGGGAUCUUCGGACCUUGCGCGAUUGAAUGAGCCGAUGUCGGAUUAGCUAGUUGGCGGGGUAAAGGCCCACCAAGGCGACGAUCCGUAGCUGGUCUGAGAGGAUGAUCAGCCACACUGGAACUGAGACACGGUCCAGACUCCUACGGGAGGCAGCAGUGGGGAAUAUUGGACAAUGGGCGCAAGCCUGAUCCAGCCAUACCGCGUGGGUGAAGAAGGCCUUCGGGUUGUAAAGCCCUUUUGUUGGGAAAGAAAAGCAGCAGGUUAAUACCCCGCUGUUCUGACGGUACCCAAAGAAUAAGCACCGGCUAACUUCGUG
rnacentral:rRNA from 1 species